AACGAACGCUGGCGGCAUGCCUAACACAUGCAAGUCGAACGAGACCUUCGGGUCUAGUGGCGCACGGGUGCGUAACGCGUGGGAACCUGCCCUUAGGUUCGGAAUAACUCCCCGAAAGGUGUGCUAAUACCGGAUAAUGUCUUCGGACCAAAGAUUUAUCGCCUUUGGAUGGGGCCGCGUUGGAUUAGCUAGUUGGUAGGGUAAAAGCAUACCAAGGAGACGAUCCAUAGCUGGUCUGAGAGGAUGAUCAGCCACACUGGGACUGAGACACGGCCCAGACUCCUACGGGAGGCAGCAGUGGGGAAUAUUGGACAAUGGGCGAAAGCCUGAUCCAGCAAUGCCGCGUGAGUGAUGAAGGCCUUAGGGUUGUAAAGCUCUUUUACCCGGGAUGAUAAUGACAGUAACGGGAGAAUAAGCUCCGGCUAACUACGUG
rnacentral:rRNA from 1 species